CAGCCGGGACGCGCCAAGGUGAACGGUGCGCGGCGGAGCGGGGCCGCCGGCAGCGGGGACAUGGGGCGAGGACACUGGGGAUGGAGAACCGGGGAGGUGACGCCGGGAGGGACGCCGGGAUUGAGCACCGAGGAGAGGGCACUGGGGAUGGAGCACUAGGAAAGGGACAGCGUGGAUACUGGGGGUCGGGACCACUAAGCACCAAGGACCACCCACACCGGAGAUACCGGGAUGAGGAACACCAGGAGACACCGGGAAACAGAAGACUGGGAAUGGGGCCUCUGAGGGUGGGUACGGCUGGGAACAGAGCCCAGGGCUACCCGGGAACGGACAGCCAAGCCACUGUCUCUCUCCCUGGCCAGUGGCACAGCAGCCUCGUGGCCAGUUACACGAGUUCCCUGAGCAGCUGCAGUGGAUCCUGGCUCACCAGACUCCCAUCCCCACAGGGUCGACUCGGUCCUCACCAUGACUGCAGCACAGCUUGUCACCUGGGGGAUGCUCCUGGCCACCGGGAUCCCUGCCAAGACCCAGGGGGUGUUGCCGGCAGGGCUGUCCUUAGGUGGGGACCCCUUGCACAGCCCUGCCUGGGGACAGCAGUGGCCAGGCCCGUCCCCCACCUGGGAGGCAUCGGGGGAGCCGAGCGGUGCCGGGGCCCCAAGGAGUGAGCGCUGGGGGGUCAAGCACCCCGUGCACUGGUCCCCACCGCUGCAGGCGGGGGAUGGCACCAGGGCACCCCUGGAGAUGGAAACCACUGUGACAGAUGCUGAUACCAAGGUCUGGAGGGAUGGCAGCACAGUACCGGCUGUGGCAGACGAGCCAUUUCUUGCCUGGCAAAGGCACGAGGCUGAAGGCCAGGACAGCUCCCUGCCCCACGGCUCUGCACAGGGGACACCAGGCUCUGAGGUGUCCACGGACAGAGGGGCAGACUCUCCAGAGUCACCCUGGGCAGGGCAGGACCUGUCCUUGUCCAGGCAGAGUGUCUCCAAGAGAGUCGGCAGACCCAGCCCUCAGCCAACCGUAUCUGCCAUUGCCCCGGACGCCAGGCUGGCAGCGGGGAUCAGGACAGCAGAUGCCCAUACAGAGGUGGAGGGACACACAGCCGCCCCGGGGCUUUCUCAGGAUGCACAACUCACUUCAGCCAGCAGCCAGUCGGUCCCACUGGGCACAGCCCAUGUGUCCAAUUCCACAGACGCGGGGCCAGCCUGGAGUCCCCAUGCCAGCCCUGGCUCUGCGCAGCCGGUGGGCAGCUGGGGGGACACAGGAGGGCCCCCCAGCCCCUCCCCGGCCCUGCCCAGCUCUGCCCCACGGCUGCGCCACACAGCGCCGUCCUGGGGGUUUGCCGAGCCCUGGACUCGAGUGCUCCCGUCCCACCAGCGCAGCACCCGGAGGGCCCCACUCAGCGCCGCCACCAUCACCCCUGGGGAUGCAGCCCCCCGCACGGACCCUGGGACUGC
rnacentral:lncRNA from 1 species